rnacentral:rRNA from 1 species
GGAGUGGACGAACCUCUGGUGUUCCGGUUGUCACGCCAGUGGCAUUGCCGGGUAGCUAUGUUCGGAAAAGAUAACCGCUGAAAGCAUCUAAGCGGGAAACUUGCCUCAAGAUGAGAUCUCACUGGAACCUUGAGUUCCCUAAAGGGCCGUCGAAGACUACGACGUUGAUAGGUUGGGUGUGUAAGCGCUGUGAGGCGUUGAGCUAACCAAUACUAAUUGCCCGUGAGGCUUGACCAUAUAACACCCAAGCAAUU